ACGUAGGGGGCAAGCGUUGUUCGGAAUUAUUGGGCGUAAAGGGCGCGUAGGCGGAAUGAUAAGUCAGAUGUGAAAGCCCUGGGCUUAACCCAGGAAGUGCAUUUGAAACUGUCAAUCUAGAGUAUGGGAGAGGGAAGCGGAAUUCCUGGUGUAGAGGUGAAAUGCGUAGAUAUCAGGAGGAACACCGGUGGCGAAGGCGGCUUCCUGGCCCUAUACUGACGCUGAGACGCGAAAGCGAGGGCAGCAAACAG
rnacentral:rRNA from 1 species